rnacentral:rRNA from 1 species
GUAGGUGGCGAGCGUUGUCCGGAAUUACUGGGCGUAAAGGAUGCGUAGGUGGAUAUUUAAGUGGGAUGUGAAAUCCCCGGGCUCAACCCGGGAACUGCAUUCCAAACUGGGUAUCUAGAGUGCAGGAGAGGAAAGCGGAAUUCCUAGUGUAGCGGUGAAAUGCGUAGAUAUUAGGAGGAACACCAGUGGCGAAGGCGGCUUUCUGGACUGUAACUGACACUGAGGCAUGAAAGCGUGGGUAGCAAAC